UGUCCUAUAGGCCCUGGUCUAAAGUAGUGCCCUUAGUCCUAUAGGUCCUGGUCUAAAGUAGUGCCCUUAGUCCUAUAGACCCUGGUCUAAAGUAGUGCCAUUAGCCCUAUAGGCACUGGUCUAAAGUAGUGCACUAUAUAUGGAAUAGGGUGCCAUUUGAGGCACACACAAGUAGGAGUGUGAACGUUUCAAAUAGUGAUCUUGAACUUUAAGAAAAAUCCCUAACAGAAAAACAGUUGUUUUGGUGGCCUAGUGAUGGAAGUCAGAUCCCGCUGCCUGUUCAAUGGUGCUUCUAAACCAUCUCCAGAGUAGUGCCCUCAGUCCUAUAGACCCUGGUCUAAAGUAGUGCCCUCAGUCCUAUAGACCCUGGUCUAAAGUAGUGCCCUCAGUCCUAUAGACCCUGGUCUAAAGUAGUGCCCUUAGUCCUAUAGGCCCUGGUCUAAAGUAGUGCCCUCAGUCCUAUAGGUCCUGUUCAAUGGUGCUUCUAAACCAUCUCCAGAGUAGUGCCCUCAGUCCUAUAGACCCUGGUCUAAAGUAGUGCCCUCAGUCCUAUAGACCCUGGUCUAAAGUAGUGCCCUCAGUCCUAUAGACCCUGGUCUAAAGUAGUGCCCUUAGUCCUAUAGGCCCUGGUCUAAAGUAGUGCCCUCAGUCCUAUAGACCCUGGUCUAAAGUAGUGCCCUUAGUCCUAUAGGCCCUGGUCUAAAGUAGUGCCCUUAGUCCUAUAGACCCUGGUCUAAAGUAGUGCCCUUAGUCCUAUAGGCCCUGGUCUAAAGUAGUGCCCUCAGUCCUAUAGACCCUGGUCUAAAGUAGUGCCCUCAGUCCUAUAGACCCUGGUCUAAAGUAGUGCCCUCAGUCCUAUAGGCCCUGGUCUAAAGUAGUGCCCUCAGUCCUAUAGACCCUGGUCUAAAGUAGUGCCCUCAGUCCUAUAGACCCUGGUCUAAAGUAGUGCCCUCAGUCCUAUAGACCCUGGUCUAAAGUAGUGCCCUCAGUCCUAUAGACCCUGGUCUAAAGUAGUGCCCUCAGUCCUAUAGACCCUGGUCUAAAGUAGUGCCCUCAGUCCUAUAGACCCUGGUCUAAAGUAGUGCCCUUAGUCCUAUAGACCCUGGUCUAAAGUAGUGCCCUUAGUCCUAUAGACCCUGGUCUAAAGUAGUGCCCUCAGUCCUAUAGACCCUGGUCUAAAGUAGUGCCCUCAGUCCUAUAGACCCUGGUCUAAAGUAGUGCCCUCAGUCCUAUAGACCCUGGUCUAAAGUAGUGCCCUUAGUCCUAUAGACCCUGGUCUAAAGUAGUGCCCUUAGUCCUAUAGACCCUGGUCUAAAGUAGUGCCCUUAGUCCUAUAGACCCUGGUCUAAAGUAGUGCCCUUAGUCCUAUAGACCCUGGUCUAAAGUAGUGCCCUUAGUCCUAUAGACCCUGGUCUAAAGUAGUGCCCUCAGUCCUAUAGACCCUGGUCUAAAGUAGUGCCCUUAGUCCUAUAGACCCUGGUCUAAAGUAGUGGCCUCAGUCCUAUAGACCCUGGUCUAAAGUAGUGCCCUUAGUCCUAUAGACCCUGGUCUAAAGUAGUGGCCUCAGUCCUAUAGACCCUGGUCUAAAGUAGUGCCCUUAGUCCUAUAGACCCUGGUCUAAAGUAGUGGCCUCAGUCCUAUAGACCCUGGUCUAAAGUAGUGCCCUCAGUCCUAUAGACCCUGGUCUAAAGUAGUGCCCUCAGUCCUAUAGACCCUGGUCUAAAGUAGUGCCCUCAGUCCUAUAGACCCUGGUCUAAAGUAGUGCCCUCAGUCCUAUAGACCCUGGUCUAAAGUAGUGCCCUCAGUCCUAUAGACCCUGGUCUAAAGUAGUGCCCUCAGUCCUAUAGACCCUGGUCUAAAGUAGUGCCCUCAGUCCUAUAGACCCUGGUCUAAAGUAGUGCCCUCAGUCCUAUAGACCCUGGUCUAAAUUAGUGCCCUCAGUCCUAUAGACCCUGGUCGAAAGUAGUGCCCUUAGCCCUAUAGGUCCUGGUCUAAAUUAGUGCCCUCAGUCCUAUAGACCCUGGUCUAAAGUAGUGCCCUCAGUCCUAUAGACCCUGGUCUAAAGUAGUGCCCUCAGUCCUAUAGACCCUGGUCUAAAGUAGUGCCCUCAGUCCUAUAGACCCUGGUCUAAAGUAGUGCCCUCAGUCCUAUAGACCCUGGUCUAAAGUAGUGCCCUCAGUCCUAUAGACCCUGGUCUAAAGUAGUGCCCUCAGUCCUAUAGACCCUGGUCUAAAGUAGUGCCCUUAGUCCUAUAGACCCUGGUCUAAAGUAGUGCCCUCAGUCCUAUAGACCCUGGUCUAAAGUAGUGCCCUUAGUCCUAUAGGUCCUGUUCAAUGGUGCUUCUAAACCAUCUCCAGAGAAGGUUUCCUGUUGUCAUUCAAAAGCCCUUGUGUACCUUUAUAGACGAACAGACAUGCCG